rnacentral:lncRNA from 1 species
CCCGAGUUUAAGAAGGUAAAAUUAUUAAAUAACGCGCCUAAAAGCAACUAACGCGUUGUUAACUUUGUGAGGGCCAUGAAAUUAGCUAAAUGGCACACUUCAAGUUCUAAAUACUUUUUAUAUACAUAAUUAUACGAGGGACACGCAUUUGUCAUUUUUAUUUGGCGCGGCACACCUUCAAUUAUUUUAAAGAAUAUUUAACCUAAACUAAAAAAAACUAUGAGGGCCAUAAGCUAUUUGUUAUCUAAAUAUGGCUCGCCUCCGCUAAUUAAAGAAAACUCAAUUAUACAAACAUUAAAUGGUAAAGAUCCCACCAUGGCCCAAGCUAAUAGAAUAACAGAAUUUAAAAUUAGGCCCAACGUGAGGCCCAGAGUCCUAUUUGUAGAAACAAACGCACUGAUCCCUGAAGGCCUAGUACGAAUGCCACGAGCGGGCCCAGUUCGAAACAAAACACAACAAUUGAAAUGUGAGAACUUAGAUUCGAGUCCUCGUGAGCCAACUAUAGGAAUUUGACUCUCAAUUAUUAAAGUCAUUCAAGAGAGCAAUCAAUAAAUACCAAACUAUGUGUAUUGAAAUUGAUUUAGCUAAAAAUAAAACUUCCUCACUUUUCAGUAUUCAAUCUACCUCUAACAGAUUAACAACACAACUUGUAAUUUUUUUUGAAACACAUCAUGGAUUUAAAAUCGACUAACAUAUUUACCAACAACAGACUCCUGAGAGAUGAACAAAUGAAAUCCAAUAGCUCACACAACAGUUCCAUUACAAUUCUGAUAUAAAACUCAAAGUUUUAAACACAACUUCACAUUAAGCACUGCUGAAAUAAGAAAUUGAAACUAAUGAGCUAAAAAUAAGCUAGGAAGGCAGGACAUCUGAUUGUAAGAAAGCAUAAUUUUCAUUUCAUCUUCAUCAAAACAACCCAUAUACUAUUCUCCACAUGCUCAAAUCAAGGAUAAGAACAUGUGACAGCAAGGUAAAAGAAGAAAGAGAGAAUCAGCGAAGCAGGACAGUAUCAACAGGUUCAGUAGCAUAAAUCAACACCAAAGCAACCAAAAGUAAAUCCAAACCCUAGGAUAAUAGCCAACAACUUAAUAUUUCAAAACCAGAACAAGUCAAACAACCUAACAGACCUCCAAACCCAACUUUGAUGAAUAAUUCUUAACCAUUUCUCACCCAGAUGAAUCAAAGUAGUUUCAAAAGUUGAAAGUGAAUCAGAAUUACUAAAUGGUUAAUGAAACAGUAGCUUAUUUAACUCUCAACCAUUUGCUUUCUGUGGAUUUUGCUCUCUCCAAAUUUUCAAAUUCAGAAUGUUAAUGGCUGCCCUUCAAGGCAAGAAAACAUGCCUUUAUAUCCAAGGCAAGUAGGGCAACUCGUUUUCUUAUUUCACCCCUUAGGUCCCCUUUAAAAAAACUAUUUUUAGCUUAUGAACCCCCCAUUUAUUGACUUGUUUUCCAAGCUAGUUACUCAAAAACCAAAAAGUGCAAUUAAACCCUGCCCUAGAAGUUUCCAAAUUUGUUACACCAAGAUUCUCUAACUUGAAAUGCCUAAACUACCCUCCAAUACCCUUGUUUUUAACUCCUAAAACUAGAUAUGGCUCACGAGUGACCCCAAGGCUUGAUUAAAUCCAGGCCCAUUCCGAAACCAAUGGGUCAGUAAAGACAGUCCAAACCAAAAGAAAUUUCAAAUUCUGAAUACAAUGGCCUCAAUCAGACGGACCGAUUUACUAACUGUAACAAAGGAAUUUUUUGAUAAGUAUGCCAAAUGGUUUUACCAAAUAAACGACUAAUUAACUUCAUACUACCAAGGCAUGUAUUAGAUUAUGAAAUAGACACGACCUAAUAACUUAGAGUAAAAAUGAACACAACGGAACUUCAACCAUGUAGCUAAUCGAAACCAGAGAAUAGCUCUUGAAAAGAAAAAUGAACAAACACAAAAUUUAAUCUAAGGGACAAACCUAAGUGCAAAAUCUUGCUCAAAUUCAGUCGAAUUGAGAAAACUAACUAAAGAAGAGGGCAGGAGGUGAAGUAAGUACACACGGACAGGGGAAAGAAAAGAGAAAGAAAAACAAAAGAAAAGAAAGAAGGGAAACUUACCCAUUAGGACUAGAAAGGACCUAGGACAUUUGGACUUGAAUAAAAUUGAUACUACCCACUACUGGUCCAGACUUCUGAUGAACGCAACUCUUGGCCAGUAACGAAAACUGCAACACAAGCACUAGCCGGAAAAUUUUCAAACAGCUAAUGCUUUAUGUCACAAAUUUUGUCACUAACAGAAGGAAGGAGAUGAGGAUGAAACGUCGACUUCUUCAGGCCACCGGCAAAGCAGAAAUCAAACAAUAUCCUCUUGCCGAGGGUUCGAGUUCAAACGCAGACCUCUAUUGGGUAAACCAAAACAAGAAAAGAGAAGGUCAAGAGAAAUGAUACAAGAUUGGAUUUUCGACAAAUUUUGGAUUUAAGAUUUGGAGAGACUGAGUAGACUUUGGCUAAAAUUAAUGGUGGAUUCGGGACGAGGAGGCGACGUUGGUUGUGGGAUUAACCUUUGGGUGGUGUUUGGGGAGGUCAAUAGCCGGUAAAAAUGGAGGUUAGGGUUGAGGUAGAUGGAGAUGAAGAGAGAGAUGACCAAGGGAAGAGGGGGUCUGUGUCUU